CCGCUCGUGGUCUAGUUGGUUAUGGCAUUCGGCUGUAAUGGACUCCAUUGUGACCGAAGAGUCACCGGUUCGAAUCCGGUCGAGCGGA
rnacentral:tRNA from 1 species